CCCCCAAACUCACCGCCCUAAUUCCCAAUUCCUUUCCCUGUUAACUCACCACCACCUACUCUACUCUCCGUUGGUCUCAGCAUUUGCCGUCGCCGUCCAGCUGAGCCGUCGCCGUUACCGUCCAAUCCAUCUCCCAGUGUCGUUCGUAGGCUCUCCCUCACCGUCUCCUCUUCUCUCUUCUCUCUUCUCUCAUCAAGUGGUCGUCAGUGUCGUGGUGCUCCGUCUCCCCUUUCAUCCUCCACUUCCACAGUAACAAUGGAGCCUCAAACUCAGACUUUAAAUCAUCAACUGGACAAACUGUAAUGCAAACACACUUUCAACCGAUUUGUGAGAAGAAUUAUGGGUGAGUUUGAAGAGCAGGUGAAGGAGAGAGCCAAGGAGCUAAAGCAUCUGAUUCAAAAGGGAGUCAAGUUUGUGGGAGAUUCAUGCAAGAAAGGCUGGAACAAAGUCAAGCAUAUCAAACGCUGAUUCAGUCUCAUCUCCUCAUGUGAAUCCCAAAAGUAGUCUCACAUUAUUAUUUGAUUUGAUUUGGUUUGUUUUUGUUCCAUCCCCUGUUGGAGAAUAUAAUUUUGGGCUAUCUGAUUUGUUUCUUUUCCUCUCAUAUGUAAGAAAAUCUGUUGUUAUAUAUAAAUAGAUAGAUACCUUUCUUUUUGUAUUAUUUCUGUUAUGUAGAACUUGUUUCAAAGAUCUUGUUGUUUCUGUUUGUUCAGUUUAAUUCUGUACACACUCAAGUCUCAACAUUCCAACUU